ACUGGCGGCGUGCUUAACACAUGCAAGUCGAACGAAGCAUCUCGCCCGAAGAAAUGGAGUGCUUGCACAAAGUGGAUUCAAUUGAGAUGACUGAGUGGCGGACGGGUGAGUAACGCGUGGGUAACCUGCCCUAUACAGGGGGAUAGCAGUUGGAAACGACUGAUAAUACCGCAUAAGCGCACAGUACCGCAUGGUACAGUGUGAAAAACUCCGGUGGUAUAGGAUGGACCCGCGUCUGAUUAGCUAGUUGGUGAGGUAACGGCUCACCAAGGCGACGAUCAGUAGCCGACCUGAGAGGGUGACCGGCCACAUUGGGACUGAGACACGGCCCAAACUCCUACGGGAGGCAGCAGUGGGGAAUAUUGCACAAUGGGCGAAAGCCUGAUGCAGCGAACCGCCGCGUGAGUGAUGAAGUAUUUCGGUAUGUAAAGCUCUAUCAGCAGGGAAGGUAAUGACGGUACCUGACUAAGAAGCACCGGCUAAAUACGUGCCAGCCGCUGC
rnacentral:rRNA from 1 species